CUACGGGGCGCAGCAGUGGGGGAUAUUGCACAAUGGGCGAAAGCCUGAUGCAGCAACGCCGCGUGAAGGAUGACGGAUUUCGGUCUGUAAACUUCUAUCAGCAGGGAAGAAAAUGACGGUACCUGACUAAGAAGCCCCGGCUAACUACGUGCCAGCAGCCGCGGUAAUACGUAGGGGGCAAGCGUUAUCCGGAAUUACUGGGUGUAAAGGGUACGUAGGCGGCUGAUCAAGUCAGAUGUGAAAGCCCGGAGCUCAACUCCGGGAUUGCAUUUGAAACUGGUCGGCUAGAGUGCAGGAGAGGAAAGUGGAAUUCCUAGUGUAGCGGUGAAAUGCGUAGAUAUUAGGAAGAACACCAGUGGCGAAGGCGGCUUUCUGGACUGUAACUGACGCUGAGGUACGAAAGCGUGGGGAGCGAACAGGAUUAGAUACCCUAGUAGUC
rnacentral:rRNA from 1 species